AGUGAACGCUGGCGGUAGGCCUAACACAUGCAAGUCGAACGGCAGCACAGUAAGAGCUUGCUCUUACGGGUGGCGAGUGGCGGACGGGUGAGGAGUACAUCGGAAUCUACUUUUUCGUGGGGGAUAACGUAGGGAAGCUUACGCUAAUACCGCAUACGACCUACGGGUGAAAGCAGGGGAUCUUCGGACCUUGCGCGAUUGAAUGAGCCGAUGUCGGAUUAGCUAGUUGGCGGGGUAAAGGCCCACCAAGGCGACGAUCCGUAGCUGGUCUGAGAGGAUGAUAGGCGACACGGGAACUGAGACACGGUCCAGGCUCCUACGGGAGGCAGCAGUGGGGAAUAUUGGACAGUGGGCGCAAGCCUGGUCCAGCCAUACCGCGUGGGUGAAGAAGGCCUUCGGGUUGUAAAGCCCUUUUGUUGGGAAAGAAAAGCAGCAGGUUAAUACCACGCUGUUCUGACGGUACCCAAAGAAUAAGCACCGGCUAACUUCGUG
rnacentral:rRNA from 1 species